UGGCUCCUACGGGACGCAGCAGCGAGGAAUAUUGGUCAAUGGGCGCGAGCCUGAACCAGCCAAGUAGCGUGAAGGAUGACUGCCCUACGGGUUGUAAACUUCUUUUAUAAAGGAAUAAAGUGAGGCACGUGUGCCUUUUUGUAUGUACUUUAUGAAUAAGGAUCGGCUAACUCCGUGCCAGCAGCCGCGGUAAUACGGAGGAUCCGAGCGUUAUCCGGAUUUAUUGGGUUUA
rnacentral:rRNA from 1 species